UACGGAGGAUGCAAGCGUUAUCCGGAAUGAUUGGGCGUAAAGCGUCCGCAGGUGGCUGUGUAAGUCUGCUGUCAAAGAGCGAAGCUCAACUUCGUAAAGGCAGUGGAAACUACACGGCUAGAGUGCGUUCGGGGCAGAGGGAAUUCCUGGUGUAGCGGUGAAAUGCGUAGAUAUCGGGAAGAACACCAAAGGCGAAAGCACUCUGCUGGGCCGAAACUGACACUGAUAGACGAAAGCUAGGGGAGCAAAUGGG
rnacentral:rRNA from 1 species